GACAGAGGGGGCAAGCGUUGCUCGGAAUCACUGGGCGUAAAGGGUGCGUAGGUGGCUGGGUAAGUCUGAUGUGAAAUCCCGCAGCUUAACUGCGGAACUGCAUCGGAUACUAUCCAGCUAGAGGUAUGGAGGGGAGAUUGGAAUGCUCGGUGUAGCAGUGAAAUGCGUAGAUAUCGAGCGGAACACCAGUGGCGAAGGCGAAUCUCUGGACAUUACCUGACACUGAGGCACGAAAGCCAGGGGAGCAAACGGG
rnacentral:rRNA from 1 species